AUUGAACGCUGGCGGCAGGCCUAACACAUGCAAGUCGAACGAGUGGCGGACGGGUGAGUAAUGUCUGGGAAACUGCCCGAUGGAGGGGGAUAACUACUGGAAACGGUAGCUAAUACCGCAUACCAUCGGAUGUGCCCAGAUGGGAUUAGCUUGUAGGUGAGGUAACGGCUCACCUAGGCGACGAUCCCUAGCUGGGCUGAGAGGAUGAACAGCAAAACGUGAACUGAGACACGGGCCAGAAUUCUACGGGAUGCAGCAGUGUGGUAUAUUGCACAAUGGGCGCAAGUCUGAUGCAGCCAUGGCGCGUGUAGGAAGAAUGCCUUCGGGUUGUAAAGUACUUUCAGCGGGGAGGCGUUGCCCGCAGAAGAAGCACCGGCUAACUCCGUGCCAGCAGCCGCGGUAAUUC
rnacentral:rRNA from 1 species